AUUGAACGCUGGCGGCAGGCCUAACACAUGCAAGUCGAACGGUAGCACAGAGAGCUUGCUCUCGGGUGACGAGUGGCGGACGGGUGAGUAAUGCCUGGGAAACUGCCCGAUGGAGGGGGAUAACUACUGGAAACGGUAGCUAAUACCGCAUAACGUCUUCGGACCAAAGUGGGGGACCUUCGGGCCUCACACCAUCGGAUGUGCCCAGGUGGGAUUAGCUAGUAGGUGGGGUAAUGGCUCACCUAGGCGACGAUCCCUAGCUGGUCUGAGAGGAUGACCAGCCACACUGGAACUGAGACACGGUCCAGACUCCUACGGGAGGCAGCAGUGGGGAAUAUUGCACAAUGGGCGCAAGCCUGAUGCAGCCAUGCCGCGUGUAUGAAGAAGGCCUUCGGGUUGUAAAGUACUUUCAGCGGGGAGGAAGGCGGUGGAGUUAAUAACUUCACUGAUUGACGUUACCCGCAGAAGAAGCACCGGCUAACUCCGUGCCAGCAGCCGCCGUAACAC
rnacentral:rRNA from 1 species